GCAUGUAUUGAGUGGAAACGGCCCUGUACCUGUAGUACUUAAGGGUAGAUGAACUGAAGGUGUUAUUCUUUUACUCAGCACCAAGUAUAAUUUGAUUACAGAAGCAGCUUAUAUGAUUUUAUUCUUGUUCUUGUGAGGGCAGCAGUUGCUGCAGUGCACUGAUAACUUUAUUCAAGCCCAUACGCAUUUCGGGGUUGUUGUGGGUCAUCCCGUCAAUAAGUUUGUAUGCGUAGUGAUCUCCAGAAAUUUCUGAAAGAAAAACAAAUACCAAGAGAACGUUAACCAAUUAAUACUCUUUGAACAAUUACAGAUUCACUCACCCCCUUCUAAAAACUUUUUGCCUUUAACGAUGUUGGAAAUGAUCGAGAAAAAAUCUUUGGUUUUCGGGUUUUGAAACAAAUGACAACGUAUUCCGGGGCCAUGUAGGCUGGAGUGCCUUUUAGGCCGCUGCUGGUCGAA